rnacentral:rRNA from 1 species
GAUGAACGCUGGCGGCGUGCCUAAUACAUGCAAGUCGAGCGAACGGACGAGAAGCUUGCUUCUCUGAUGUUAGCGGCGGACGGGUGAGUAACACGUGGAUAACCUACCUAUAAGACUGGGAUAACUUCGGGAAACCGGCGCUAAUACCGGAUAAUAUUUUGAACCGCAUGGUUCAAAAGUGAAAGACGGUCUUGCUGUCACUUAUCGAUGGAUCCGCGCUGCAUUAGCUAGUUGGUAAGGUAACGGCUUACCAAGGCAACGAUGCAUAGACGAACUGAGAGGGUGAUCGGCCACACUGGAACUGAGACACGGUCCAGACUCCUACGGGAGGCAGCAGUAGGGAAUCGUACGCAAUGGGCGAAAGCCUGACGGAGCAACGCGGCGUGAGUGAUGAAGGUCUUCGGAGCGGAAAACUCUGUUAUUAGGGAAGAACAGAUGUGUAAGGAACUGUGCAGAUCUUGACGGUACCUAGUCAGAAAGCCACGGCUAACUACGUG